rnacentral:rRNA from 1 species
AAGGGUCCGUAGGCGGGGAAAUAAGUNGUGGUGAAAUCCUGCAGCUCAACUGUAGAACUGCCAUUGAAACUGUUUUUCUUGAAUGUAGAUGAAGUGGGCGGAAAUGUGUCAUGUAGCGGUGAAAUGCAUAGAUAUGACACAGAACACCGAUUGCGAAGGCAGCUCACUAAACUAUUAUUGACGCUGAGGGACGAAAGUGUGGGGAGCGAACAGGAUUAGAUACCCUGGUAGUCCACACCGUAAACGAUGAUUACUCGGUGCUAGCAAUAUACUGUUAGUGCCUAAGCGAAAGCGAUAAGUAAUCCACCUGGGGAGUACGGUCGCAAGAUUGAAACUCAAAGGAAUUGACGGGGGCCCGCACAAGCGGUGGAGCAUGUGGUUUAAUUCGAUGAUACGCGAGGAACCUUACCUGGGCUUAAAUGUAUAUUGACAGGCUGGGAAACCAGUCCUUCUUCGGACAAUUUACAAGGUGCUGCAUGGUUGUCGUCAGCUCGUGCUGUGAGGUGUCGGGUUAAGUCCCAUAACGAGCGCAACCCCUAUCCUUAGUUGCCAGCGAGUAAUGUCGGGGACUCUAAGGAAACUGCCGGUGCAACCCGUGAGGAAGGUGGGGAUGACGUCAAAUCAUCACGGCCCUUACGUCCAGGGCUACACACGUGCUACAAUGGCGCAUACAAAGGGCAGCUACAUGGUGACAUGAUGCUAAUCUCUAAAGUGCGUCUCAGUUCGGAUCGAAGUCUGCAACUCGACUUCGUGAAGCUGGAAUCGCUAGUAAUCGGGUAUCAGCCAUGAUCCGGUGAAUACGUUCCCGGGCCUUGUACACNCCGCCCGUCAAGCCANGAAGCUGGGGG